rnacentral:rRNA from 1 species
UGGGGAAUUUUGGACAAUGGGCGAAAGCCUGAUCCAGCAAUGCCGCGUGCAGGAUGAAGGCCUUCGGGUUGUAAACUGCUUUUGUACGGAACGAAAAGCUUCGGGUUAAUACCCUGGAGUCAUGACGGUACCGUAAGAAUAAGCACCGGCUAACUACGUGCCAGCAGCCGCGGUAAUACGUAGGGUGCAAGCGUUAAUCGGAAUUACUGGGCGUAAAGCGUGCGCAGGCGGUCUUGUAAGACAGAGGUGAAAUCCCCGGGCUCAACCUGGGAACUGCCUUUGUGACUGCAAGGCUGGAGUGCGGCAGAGGGGGAUGGAAUUCCGCGUGUAGCAGAGAAAUGCGUAGAUAUGCGGAGGAACACCGAUGGCGAAGGCAAUCCCCUGGGCCUGCACUGACGCUCAUGCACGAAAGCGUGGGGAGCAAACAGG